UAUUCUAAUAUUUUAAUAUUCUAAUAUUCUAAUAAACUAAUAUAUAGAUAUAGAUAUAUAAUCUUUUCUGAGUAUUUAGAUUGGGAUGUUUAAAAGAGAUUUUAAACAUCUAUUGUUAAAAGAAAAGAAAUCGUGAUUUGGAGAAGAAGACAUUUGAAUUCUGCCUUCUUCUUAUCACGUUAGAUAUAGUGUGUCCCACGAAACAUGAAGGGUAGCAAGACGACUUGAAGGUUGAUGACUGAAUGUCAUACAAACAAGUACGUCGUCUUGCUUCUGUCAUGUUUUGUGGAUAUUCAGACUUUGUUCUGUCUCAAGAUGGUUUGCUUUCAAUAAAAAAAUAUGUCUAAUGAAUAUAACAUUUAUAAUUUGG